CAAACUGAAGAUGGCGACCGGCGCACGGGUGAGUAACACGUAUCCAACCUGCCGAUGACUCGGGGAUAGCCUUUCGAAAGAAAGAUUAAUACCCGAUGGCAUAGUUCUUCCGCAUGGUGGAACUAUUAAAGAAUUUCGGUUAUCGAUGGGGAUGCGUUCCAUUAGUUUGUUGGCGGGGUAACGGCCCACCAAGACUACGAUGGAUAGGGGUUCUGAGAGGAAGGUCCCCCACAUUGGAACUGAGGCACGGUCCAAACUCCUACGGGAGGCAGCAUG
rnacentral:rRNA from 1 species